rnacentral:rRNA from 1 species
UACGGGGGGGGCAAGCGUUGUUCGGAAUUACUGGGCGUAAAGGGCUCGUAGGCGGCUCGUUAAGUCAGACGUGAAAGCCCUCGGCUUAACCGGGGAACGGCGUCUGAGACUGGCAAGCUUGAAUCCGGGAGAGGGAUGCGGAAUUCCAGGUGUAGCGGUGAAAUGCGUAGAUAUCUGGAGGAACACCGGUGGCGAAGGCGGGUUGCUGGGCUGAUACUGACGCUGAGGCGCGAAAGCCAGGGGAGCAAACGGG